rnacentral:tRNA from 1 species
AAAAUCGUGAGGGUUCAAGUCCCUCUAUCCCCAA